rnacentral:rRNA from 1 species
AUUGAACGCUGGCGGAAUGCUUUACACAUGCAAGUCGAACGGCAGCACGGGGGCAACCCUGGUGGCGAGUGGCGAACGGGUGAGUAAUGUAUCGGAACGUGCCCAGUCGUGGGGGAUAACGUAGUGAAAAUUACGCUAAUACCGCAUACGAUCUACGGAUGAAAGCGGGGGAUCGCAAGUCCUCGCGCGAUUGGAGCGGCCGAUAUCAGAUUAGGUAGUUGGUGGGGUAAAGGCUCACCAAGCCAACGAUCUGUAGCUGGUCUGAGAGGACGACCAGCCACACUGGAACUGAGACACGGUCCAGACUCCUACGGGAGGCAGCAGUGGGGAAUUUUGGACAAUGGGCGAAAGCCUGAUCCAGCCAUUCCGCGUGCAGGAUGAAGGCCUUCGGGUUGUAAACUGCUUUUGUACGGAGCGAAAAGGCUCUCUCUAAUACAGGGGGCUCAUGACGGUACCGUAAGAAUAAGCACCGGCUAACUACGUGCCAGCCGCCGCAAUAA